GCAGAAUCCAACUCCUCCCGCCUCCUCCUCCUGAAUGCUGGGAUUAGAAGUAUAUACUUCCAUGACUGGAAAGGCUAAAGGUUUUAUUUAGUAAAAAACAAAUCAGAGUCUUUAAUUUGUCAUUUUUUUUUCCUUUAGGGUCUCAUGAAGAAGUUCAUUCGCUGUUCUACACGAGUUACUGUAGGAACUAUUAAAAAGUUUCUGAGUUUAAAACUAAAACUUCCAAGUUCUUAUGAGUUGGAUGUGCUGUGCAAUGGUGAAAUUAUGGGAAAGGAUCAUACUAUGGAAUUCAUCUAUAUGACAAGAUGGCGGCUAAGAGGAGAAAAUUUUUGCUGUCUUGAACUGUUCAGCCUCGCCAGUCUGCUCUCAGGAUGGCACUUUGUAUCAGUCCUACCCGAUGGUAUUGCAGUAUCGACCAAGAAUUGAUUUCGGGUAGGCCCAGGCCCAGGCCUCGGCUGCACUGAAUGAAUCCUGCACUAUUUGUUUACUCGUCGACAGAUUGCACAGUGAAUGGUGUGUGGACUCGAGAGACACAAUCUGAUUUCAGCAUGCACAUAAGGCCAUUGUCUGUCUCAACUGUCAGUGUCCUUCAUGUUGUUUCUAUUAGGAGCCAUCCAAGUGCCCUUCCGCCACUGACCAUCUGCACAUAUUCAUGCUGUCUCAGUGUGCAAGGCACGGCCGGAGCGAGUGAGGUCCAGCCGCGACUCUGCUUUCUCAGUGUUUUGCUUGCCUGUUGCAAGGUUGUUCUAAUGUUAAUUACACUAGUAAAAUGGCUCAAUCCUUGUGGUGUUGCAGUUUUCACAUACUUAAUACUUUUAUUCUUAUUAAAAUAGAGUACUGUACAAGAACCUAGUAUAAUUAUAUCUUGAAAUUAUUUUGUAUAAGAAUAUAUUUAGAAAAGUGGUUUCUGAGCCACUGUCCUAUUCUUGGUAAACUUUUAUGUAAAAAAGAAUAAACAACCAAAAAAAAAAAAAAACCAAAAUGCCAGC
rnacentral:lncRNA from 1 species